ensembl:lncRNA
AUAAGGCAAAAUAGUAUUCAGGAUAGUGAUAAUACAAUUUCUUAAAAAGAAAACAGAGCCACCGGGAUCCAACUUUACUCCUUUUAAAUACUCUAUUUUUAACGACGAAAAAGAUAUUGCUGAAAAUGGCUAUAUAAAAUCUGAAGUUGUUAAUAUCUGAUUACUAUAGUAUUUCAUUGCAACUUGUGAUUUUAACUCUUAAAAUACUGGAAUAUAAAAUAACGUAUCGGCUUACAAGACAAAAUUCAGUUACAGUAAAAUCAAAAUCAACAGUUCCAAAAAUCGAGUGGAAGUGCCUUUUAGCUGCAGAAUUUCUUUCCUGGAAAAUCAUCUUUUUUCUUGCAAAACAGCAAUUAAAUAUAAUUAUUUAAAGUUAUUGUCAUGUUUAUAUACCAAACAUUUCUAUUAAAACAUUUGUUAGAAACAAUAUCAAGGUGCUAAUAAAUUUUCAAAAGUGUAUAAUAAAUGUUACCAUUUUUUUAGAAUCCCAAACACCAUGAUAUUUCAAAUCCGCAAAAAUCUCACUUAAAAAAUGUUAAGCUUAAUUGUGUGCACAACGAAACUUCUAGAAAACUCCAUUACUUACUGUUCACUGAGUAUUACUUACAGAGAUUAACAGUUUUAAGAAUUCAUCUGUUAUUUAUCCUGAAGUGUUUUGAAUAACCCUUUCGUACAGUAUACUUCUCAAUGAGAUGACCACCCCUACUCUGGUCUGCUGAGAAAAACAAAAAAAUCGGUAAAUCUUCUUUAAGGCUGUUCUUGUUCUAAUGUCUUUUAGGUGGCCACAAGCAGGAAUUCAUAAUGAUAAAAGCAACAAUACGAGGAAAAAUUUUUUUAAAUGCUUGUUUCAUAUUUACUGUAUAAAGUCAUUUUGACAUGCCUGCACAACUGGUUGUGGCAGAUUUCAGACAUGAUUUCUAAUCAAAAAAAAAAAAAAAAAAUUGCUCCAGGUUCUUUAGAGAAAGCUUGCCGCGGGAAGUUGAUUUUGGCCAAGUGCCAAAAUCAUGUGCAAAGGGGCCUCAUUAGGGAUUCAUGGCAGCCUUCAGCACUAACAAAAAAUGUGACCCAACAGGCUAAAUCAGAGACUAAAAUUAAAAAGUAAGAGACAAAGACAACUUACUUAAUAUUCCUUCCGAAGCAACAUUAAACUUUUUUUGGUAAUUAAACCCUUGUUAGUCUAAUGCAGUGUUCCUCUGUCCUCAAAUGAUUGUACAAUUACUCUUUAAAACUUGUCAAUUUCCCUUCUAAAUACACUUUCUUUCUGUGGCAGUUUACAAAGAUUUUGCUAUAUAAUAAAACUCUAUAUCCACUAUCAUCAGUUCAAUAGCAGAAAACAAAAUCGUAAAAAUGCACACUACAGUAUUCCCUUAAGAUUUAAACAAACAAACAAAAAAAUAAGCAAACAGUCGUCAGUACCUUUUAAACUUCUCCGAAAGUGAACAUGCACACUUCCAGACUCACGUCCACUGUGACGAAUCACUCUCGCUGCCCAACUUUUCCCCAAAAAAGUAGAUUUGAUACGUAGCCUUACCUAGAUGUCUUCUGGCUUUUCUGCAGAUCAAAAAGUUUCCUGCCCAAGCACACAGAUAUUCUUUCACAAACCAUAAAGACCCUUUUAUGAAUCCAGCACUGUAACAGGCUGCUUUCCACACCACGUCGAGAGCCCAGUGCGUCAGCUCUCAAGAUAAAAUACAUUGCUAAUACACAAUUAGUGGGAGAGGUUGUCUACUGGAGAAUUUAUCUUAACGAAAGAAGGAAAAAGAAGCUUUUUUUUUUUUUUUUUUUGAAAAAGCAGAGAGGGUGCGGUCAGAUGUUAGGUUUUGCCUGAGAAAAGGGCCUUCCACUGCACUAGUACCUAAAUACUAGCAGAAGCUGCCUGGGAAGAGAGCCAAUGGAAGGACUUUGUUUGACCCAGCUGCCAAUCUCCCCUGAAGCCGUGCGCCAGACUAAACACUCACACUAUUUUAACUCAAAUCAGGCUACAGCAGCUGUUUGCUUUCCGGCUCUGAGCUCUGCACCCACGAUGGCCUGUGCCGUUUACCCAGCGAGCUCUGCUAGCUGCCUGGCUGGAAUCUGUUCCGGGUUGGGAGUUGUCAUUGGAGAGCACGUUUUAACCCUCUUCCUCGUGGUAAAUGUGGACCGUUUGUUGUUCGGCAUUUGGAUCGGCCCUUGUGUGCAUCAGGAACAAGGCCCGUACCACGCACCUCUAAGAACAAAGAUGGUACCUAUUCACCCUGACCCAGACUUCUUCGACCCCAGCAAGAUGGAAAGUUGGCAUCAGAGGAGCGGAGAGACUCACGUCAUUCUAAGAGUCAGUACUGACUGCUUAAUGCUCCCGCGAGUUCCUCCAGAAGCAACACCCAAGCACGCAAGUGUUGGAUUUUGUCCAAGAGACCAUGUAAUUUAUGAAGGAAGUGUACGUCAUUCACAUUUUCCAGAAAAGAGGACAAAAAACAGCAGAGAGAGUCUAGGACACACUGACUCCAGUACACAUGAGGACAUCCAGCACCCAGCUCUUAGUUUCUGUUACUGUUCUCCAAUAAAAGGAACUAGAACUCCUUGGGGAAAUGCCUGAUUCUAGGUCUUGGCAGGAAAUACGCAAAAUGGGCCUGGAGCAUCUUAUAGUGCCAAAAUGUAAGGAAGUGCCAAAAAAUAAAAAGCAAACAAUUAUGAAGAUAUAUCAAAGGGAGACAGGAGACAACUGGAAGAGGUUCUAACGGCUAAAGUCGGAAGAAUUUGAACAACAAAAUAAAGUAGUAUUGGAUUAUAACCCAAAGAAAAAAAUAAAUAUCCAUGAGUACAUACUGAUAUAAAUUAAUAAUUUAAUAUAGAAAUAACUUGGAGAAAAUAGACAAUUAUCCCAUGCAGAAGAAUCUCAAAUAAUUUAUUGGAAUAUAUAUAUAUUCCAUUCUUAAGCAGGUGGAACAUACAUGCCCACCUCUCAAGUAUGGGCUAAGCAUGGUGACUUCCUUCCAAAGAGUGCAAUAUUGAAAGAGAGAGGGAAUGAAGAGUAAAUUUACAGCAGAUAAAGCUGACAAACACUUCCCCAAGCCAGGUGAUCAAGGUUAACAUCAUGGUAAGUUAUUUUGAUAAUGUUCCACUUUGAUAUUAUGUGAUGAGAAUGGCAAUUUACCUUUGUGGUCUUGAUCCCAAGAAAUGUAUUACUCCAGUCUAAGCAUAAGAAAAAAACAUCAGACAAAUUCCAGUUGAGAGAGAUUCUAUGGAACAGUUGACCAGUAAACUGUCAAGAUUGAUGGAAACAAGGAAAGUCUGAGAAACUGUCACAACCAAGAGUAGCCUAAAUCAACAUGACUAUUAAUAUAAUGCAGUAUCCUGUAUGGGAUCCUGGAACAACAACCAAAAAAAGGGCAUUAGGGAAAACCUAAGGAAAUCUGAAUAAAGUAUGGACUUUAGUCUGUAAUAAUGUACCAACUGUGUUUGACAAAUUGUGGCACAUAAAUUAUACUUAUGUAAUGAGAAACUGGGUUUGGGGUAUACGGGAAAUCUUUGUACCAUCUUUGCAAUAAUUCUGUAAAUGUAAAAUUGUUCUAAAAUUAAAAGUUUAUUAAAAUAUGCACUAGAAAAUGUUUUAAAUAGAAAAAAAUGAUUAAAUACUUCAUGGGUGUGUUACUCAAUGUUUUCUUAAGUGUGAAGGAAAAAUUCCUGAGAAGUAUAUAUUAAAGUAAUAAAACUACUUCUUUGGUUUCCAUGACACUGCUUCUUCUAGAUUUUUUUUUCUUCUCACGUAUCCAAUUUUUUCAAUUAUUUAUUUAUUUAUUUUUAUAAGCUCUUUUUGUUUGUUUUGUUUUGUCUGAGGAAGAUUUGCCCUGAGCUAACAUCCAUUACCAAUCUUGCCAAUCUUCCUCCUUUUUGCUUUUUGCUCACGGAAGAUUAGCCCUGAGCUAACAUCUGUG